rnacentral:rRNA from 1 species
AUGAUAUCGUGCUAUGCCAGGAGUGGAGCAAGCUCUGGGCCUCUUUGCGAUGGCUCUGCAAAAUGGUGUUCUUCCAACCGAGUUCACCUUUGCAAGUGUGCUAGACGGAGUUCAUGUUUUGGUCUGUUGAAGCAGGGUACCCAAAUCCAUGCACUGGUAUAUAAACGUGAGUUUCAGGAUGAUAUAAUUGUCACCACUGCUCUCAUUGGCAUGUACUGUAAGUUAGGUUCCUUGAAGCAUGUCAGGAAAAUCUUCAAUGGUGUCUGUGUCAAGGAUUUGUUGAUCAUUGGUGUAUCGCAGAAUGAGAAGCUCUUGAGUAUUUUGGUGAAUAUUGAAGUGUGGUGUCAAGCCAUAUAG